rnacentral:rRNA from 2 species
UACGAAGGGGGCUAGCGUUGUUCGGAAUUACUGGGCGUAAAGGGCGCGUAGGUGGCUUGGCAAGUUGGGUGUGAAAGCCCAGGGCUCAACCCUGGAAUUGCACUCAAGACUGCUUUGCUUGAAUUCGGUAGAGGUUGGUGGAAUUCCCAGUGUAGAGGUGAAAUUCGUAGAGAUUGGGAAGAACACCCGUGGCGAAGGCGGCCAACUGGACCGACAUUGACACUGAGGCGCGAAAGCGUGGGGAUCAAACAGG